UAUUGAAACAAUGGCGUCCCUCAACAUCAUACAACAUGAAAAAAGAUACUGGGGGUUUGUUAUUCUUUCUCAGUCAUGUUUUAGGGAUAAUCAUGCUCUGUAUUGUGGAACUACAGCCCCCACAAUGCUUUGGCGCAUGUGUGCCGGAAGUGGAAUGGCACCGUUGUCAGUGAGUUAGCCGCGGGUCUUUCUUUAGUUUUUAUCUUGUCUUAUUGGCGCCGAAUUGUCCGUGAUUAGCUCCUGUUUGCAGUGAACUCGUGGAUGUUCAGACACCGGUCGCUAAAUCACUGUGGUACUGAAGAAAAGUUGAAAACACGAUGAUUCUCAGGCAGGUUCGGGAGCUGACAGCUGCGUCUUCUCUCCCGUCACUUCUCCUCGGAUUUAUGGACGUUUAAUCCCGGCAGACAUCAGAGAAAAUGACACACGGUGAAAGUGUUUCUGAUGGAGGCGGUGGGAGGAGCUUCACGAGGUCACUGUCAGGAAUCAAGGAACAGGUGUCAGCAGCAGCAGCAGACCUGAGGUGUGACAGAGCAGGUCUCUGUAGGACUCGGAGGCGGUGUUCCUCAUCCAGCCCUUCAGCAGGUUGUACCUUGAGUUCUGCAGCGGGAUGUUGACGGAGGAGGCGUACUGCAGAGUCCGGGAGACGCUGGCUCUGAACGACGGCUUCCUGGCUGUGAACAGGACGAAGAUCUGAAAACCCUGAAGAGACGAGAGGAGGAGACGCAGAAUAAGAUGCUGAAGACCAGGUGUGCGUGUCCUGUAGUGACGAGGACCAGGUACCCCAGAGUCCAGGAAAGACCCAGUAACACAGCCAGAGAGAAACUGCUGAGGAACUUCUUCUUCAGAG